UGCAAUAUUUGUGGGAGAGAAAUAGAGGAUGAAUAUCAUGCGGUUAUACAAUGCACGAAAGCCCGAGCGCUCAGAGAGGAGUUGAGAAAAUAGUGGGACUUACCGAUGGAACACCAAUUUUAGUUUACUGGAGUUGACUGGCUACAAAACCUGCUAGAUAAAUGUGACACUGAAACAAGGAAAAAGGUACUGUUGCUUAUAUGGCACGCCUGGUGGCUUAGAGAUGAUUGCAUCCAUGGAGAAGGAAAAACAACGAUUGGUCAAUCUGCCCAAUUUCUGCUCAAAUAUGCAGAAGAAAUUAGUGGCUGUGGGGUGAGCUGA
rnacentral:rRNA from 1 species